rnacentral:rRNA from 1 species
GCUAAGAAUAUUCCGCAAUGGACGAAAGUCUGACGGAGCGACGCCGCGUGGAUGAGGAAGGCCGAAAGGUUGUAAAGUCCUUUUGUCGAUGAAGAAUAAGUGGUGGAGGGAAUGCCAUCAUGAUGACGUUAGUCGGCGAAUAAGCCCCGGCUAAUUACGUGCCAGCAGCCGCGGUAACACGUAAGGGGCAAGCGUUGUUCGGAAUUAUUGGGCGUAAAGGGUACGUAGGCGGUUAUGUAAGCCCGGCGUGAAAUCCUGCAGCUUAACUGUAGAGCUGCGCUGGGAACUGCGUAACUUGAGUCAUGGAAGGGAAGUUAGAAUUCCAGGUGUAGGGGUGAAAUCUGUAGAUAUCUGGAAGAAUACCGGUGGCGAAGGCGAACUUCUGGCCAAUGACUGACGCUGAGGUACGAAAGUGCGGGGAGCAAACAGGAUUAGAAACCCUUGUAGUCC